CUGAGCCCGACCUGGGGCGCGAACUCAGGAACUGCAAGAUCAUGACCUGAGCCGAGGUCAAGAGUUGGAUGUCUAACCAACCGAGCCACCCUGGCGCCCCCGGGAGGACAUUCCUUGUGGUCUUCGGAAACCGGAGAGGCAUCCCUGGUGUUUAUCCACUGCCAAAUGGGGCGGCGACAGAGAAAGGCGAGCGGGAGAUGGGCCUUGAGAGCAGAGAGGCAUUUAAGAAAGUUCUGUCCAACAGUUAGCUGAUUAGAAGCCAAAGGAAGAAGACCUUCAGAUGCUUCAGAGACCACACACAACAAGAAAUACAGUCUUUAAAGUCUUUUAGAAAAGUCAUGGGCAUCCCAGAGGCAGGCGAGAAAAAGAGAAAGACCAUUCAAAGAAACAAUGGCUGAAAACUUACCAACCUUAAUAACGAUCAUCAAUCUGUGUGAGCAGCUCAACAAAUUCCAAGCAGGAAGAGAUCCACACCAGGACACUAUCAUCGAAUUGUUGAAAAAUAAAGACAAAGAGAACCUUUAAAGCAGCAAGAGAGAAGUGACUCAUUACGUACAAGGGCUCUCCAAUGAGAGCAACAGCUGAGUUUUCAUCAGAUAUUGUGGAGGCCAGAAAACAGCCAAUGACAUUUAAAGGGACAGAACCUUGAGACCAAAGAGUCUUUGCUUCACAUCGCUUCUCAACGAGGAGCACCUGGGUGGCCUAGUUGGUUAAGGGUCCAACU